rnacentral:siRNA from 1 species
AGCAUUAAUAACUAAGCGAAUGA